CUUAGAACUCAAACUAAGAAGAGACUCAAAAACAGAGCAGAGGAGAAAAAUUUCUCACAUUAGAAAUCAAAUUUCUCUUCUCUCUUUUUGAUCAGAAUUUACUUGAUUUGAUGGAUUCUCCGAUCAGAUUUCGCGCUCUUUUCUUCCUUCUUCUAAUUUUAGGAUUCGUGGUUGAAAUACAAAGUUUAGGAGUAGGAAUAAACUACGGCCAGAUCGCAAACAAUCUCCCGUCGCCGCAACGAGUCGCCGUACUACUUCAAUCCCUGAGAAUAAACAAAGUAAAACUCUACGAUGCCGAUCCGAACGUUCUCCGUGCUUUCGCAAACACAAACGUCGAAUUCAUCGUAGGAUUAGGUAACGAACACAUCUCAGACAUGACUGAUCCAACAAAAGCUGAAGCAUGGGUUAAACAAUACGUUCAACCAUUCUUACCACAAACUAAAAUCACUUGCAUCACCGUCGGAAACGAAGUUUUCGGUAGUAAUUUGGCUAAUGCACAGCCGGAAAUCAUGACUAAUCUUUUACCGGCGAUGAAGACAGUUUACAACGCAUUAGUUUCAUUAGGAUUGAGCUCACAGGUGAAUGUCACUACCGCACAUUCGCUUACAAUUUUAUCCAGUUCUUACCCACCGUCAUCUGGUGUUUUCCGGGAAGAUUUCGCGUCUUAUAUUAAACCAAUUCUUGAUUUUCAUGCUCAAGUCAAGUCGCCAUUUCUUAUCAAUGCGUACCCAUUUUUCGCAUACAAGGAUAACCCGAACGAAGUUUCAUUAGAUUAUGUUCUUUUUAAGCCUAAUCAAGGAAUGGUUGAUCCGGUUACAAAUUUGCAUUAUGAUAAUAUGUUGUAUGCUCAAAUUGAUGCUGUUUACGCGGCGAUGAAAGCAAUGGGUCAUUCAGAUGUAGAUAUUAAGAUAUCUGAAACUGGUUGGCCUUCUAAAGGUGAUGAAAAUGAAGUUGGCGCUAACCCGCAGAAUGCAGGAGAAUAUCAUAGAAAUUUAAUUAGUAGAGUUCAACAAGAUAAAGGUACUCCAAUGAAACCAUCUGUUCCUAUCGAUAUCUUCGUCUUCGCGUUGUUUAACGAGAAUAUGAAGCCCGGACCGGCUUCGGAGAGAAAUUACGGGUUGUUCUAUCCGGAUGGUAGGCCGGUUUACAGUCUAGGGGCACAAGGACAGGGGCCACAGGGCUAUCUUCCGGAGCUUGUUUAUUCUUCAGCAUCUAAAGUUCAGGUUAUGACAAUCUUAGGCUUUUUGAUCUUCAUCGUCAUGGGAUUUCUAAUCCAUGUUUGAGCAGAACUCCUAUCUGCUCAACCAAAAAUGCUUUAUGGACAAUUCUUUUGCGGGGCAGCGCCUCAUGGCCGAGUGUUCAUUAACGCGUUCAGUCAUUCAUUUGCGUGUCUAAAAUUUCAAUCGCCAGCUGCAUCUGUCUAUUGCAUAUCCACAAAAGAGCUGUCCAUAAAGCAUAAGUUUGAUGUUCAAUAUGGGAAACAUAAUGAGAGCAAGUGACCAAAAGGAGCUGAACCCACGGAGAGAGUGUGAACAAAAAUUUUCUGCCCAUGCUGUUUGAAGCUCUCACAAGAAAUGAAUUAAAAGGGCAGAGGGAACCAGUACUAAUGCCAUAAUUCUCAAUAUGCAAAUACCAUGGGCAGAUCCAGUUUUGGUUGCGUGCAUCUUGGAUCAUACGAAAAAAUUGAACAUGAAGAAAAUUAAUUCAAAAUUGUACAGUACAUUAAUUCAGAUUCCAAUAUUAUUUUUUAUUUAUUUUUCGAUUCAAUCAUCUAGGAAUAAACAAUAAGCUUCAAAAGAAAAAAGAAAAAAAAAAAACAUUUUUGGUAAUGAAUUGAAAAUGAAGCAAACAAAAAAAAAAUGUAUUACUGCCAGAUUUGGCUUUAAAUUUGCAAUUUUAUUUUAUUUUUUGGCGAUA